ensembl:lncRNA
AUGAAGCUUUGUGCUAAUGUACUUCUGAGUCUACAGGCUGCUCGUUAUGGCGCACACCUGUCACCAUCGUUACGCGCACCUGCACGUCGUCAGACUCACCUGGACAUCACUUCGUUGAUUACCUGCCCUAUAUAUGUCCCUCCCUUUGGUACCAUUCCCCAGGUUUCAUUGUUUCUGUUUCAUGUCUGUGUGUUGUUCGAGGUUCUUGUUUUGUAUUAUGUUCUGUUUAUUUUCUUAAAACAGUUUUUUGUUUUUUUUGGUCAGGCUCCCCUGCCUCAGCCGGCUCGACAGGCUCCCCUGCCUCAGCCGGCUCGACAGGCUCCCCUGCCUCAGCCGGCUCGACAGGCUCCCCUGCCUCAGCCGGCUUGUCGGGCUUUCAUGCCUUUGCCAGAUCCCCUGCGUCCACUGACUCGUCAGGCUCUCAUACCUCAACCGGAUCGCCAGGCUCCCCUGCCUCAGCCGGUCUGGCAGGUUCCCUCGUCCCAGCCGGCGACAGGUUCCUGCGCAUCAGCGGGGGUGACCGGUCCGCCCCUGAUCCCCAGGAUCGUCCCUUGGGUUGGCAUCCUGCGGCUGGUGCCAAACACGCCCGGGAGGGGGUACCGUCAGUUAUGCUCUCUCUCCGGCACUCUAGGUCGCCAUGCUCCUGCGUCUCAGCCGGAUAGAGUUUCCUGUGCCUCUGCAGAGGUGUCCGGUCCGCUCCUGUUCACCGGGAUAGUCACUUUGGGUGGCGUUCUGCAGCUGGAGCCGCGCGUCGGGAAGGGGAUACUGUCAUGUGUGCUCCCUCUCCGACCUCGUUACGCGCAUCGUCAGACUCACCUGGACUCCAUCACUUCGUUGAUUACCUGCCCUAUAUAUGUCCCUCCCUUUGGUUCCUUCCCCAGUCAUCAUUGUUUCUGUUUCAUGUGUGUGUGUUGUUCGAGGUUCUUGUUUUAUAUUAUGUUCUGUUUUAUUUUAUUAAAACACUCACUCCCUGAACUUGCUUCCCGACUCUAAGCGCACGUCGUUACUCACUCUCUCACACACAGUAUCUUCUGUUUUGCAUUUGAGUAUAUGCAAUGACCCUGUGCACAAUUGACAUACUUACAAAUGCGUCUUAAGAAGACAGUGAUCGUAAUUGCAAUGAGCCCAACAAUUGACAUAAAUACAGGAGUCUUGUAUAGGAGUGUAGUGUUUCUCCUGUUGGAACAUUUUUACAACCUAGUCGAUGACUGAUGGAUUUUAAAUGAACAAAAUAUGUUGGUUGGGUGACUAAACUACAUAACGUGUUAUCGUGUGCAAUGGGAGAGUCUGCAGACACACGGCGCUUACAGCAGCAGAACAACGUGUAGUGAUUUUACAAGAGUAGGUAACACCAAAAGCUUCAGUUUACAUUAAUGACCAGCUAUUUGCUGUCAGAGCAGCUCACAGAUCACUGCAACUGUACAUAGCCCAUCUAUAAAUAGCCCAAACAACUACCUCUUCCCCUACUGUAUUUAUUUAUUUAGCUCCUUUGCACCCCAGUAUUUCAACUUUGCACACUCAUCUACUGUCAAAUCUACCAUUCCAGUGUUUAAUUGCUAUACUGUAUUUACUUCCCCACCAUGGCCUAUUUAUUGCCUUUACCUCCCUUAUCUCACCUAAUUUGCUCACUUAUUUUCUACUGUAUUAUUGACUGUAUGUUUGUUUUACUCCAUGUGUAACUGUUGUUAUAUGUGUCGAACUGCUUUGCUUUAUCUUGGCCAGGUCGCAGUUGUAAAUGAGAACUUGUUCUCAACUUGUCUACCUGGUUAAAUAAAGGUGAAAAAAGAAUAAUAUACAGUGCCUUGCGAAAGUAUUCGGCCCCCUUGAACUUUUCGACCUUUUGCCACAUUUCAGGCUUCAAACAUAAAGAUAUAAAACUGUAUUUUUUUGUGAAGAAUCAACAAGUGGGACACAAUCAUGAAGUGGAACGACAUUUAUUGGAUAUUUCAAACUUUUUUAACAAAUCAAAAACUGAAAAAUUGGGCGUGCUUAAUUAUUCAGCCCCCUUAAGUUAAUACUUUGUAGCGCCACCUUUUACUGCGAUUACAGCUGUAAGUCGCUUGGGGUAUGUCUCUAUCAGUUUUGCACAUCGAGAGACUGAAAUUGUUUCCCAUUCCUCCUUGCAAAACAGCUCGAGCUCAGUGAGGUUGGAUGGAGAGCAUUUGUGAACAGCAGUUUUCAGUUCUUUCCACAGAUUCUCGAUUGGAUUCAGGUCUGGACUUUGACUUGGCCAUUCUAACACCUGGAUAUGUUUAUUUUUGAACCAUUCCAUUGUAGAUUUUGCUUUAUGUUUUGGAUCAUUGUCUUGUUGGAAGACAAAUCUCCGUCCCAGUCUCAGGUCUUUUGCAGACUCCAUCAGGUUUUCUUCCAGAAUGGUCCUGUAUUUGGCUCCAUCCAUCUUCCCAUCAAUUUUAACCAUCUUCCCUGUCCCUGCUGAAGAAAAGCAGGCCCAAACCAUGAUGCUGCCACCACCAUGGUUGACAGUGGGGAUGGUGUGUUCAGCUGUGUUGCUUUUACUGUCAUGUAUUGUCAUGUUGUGUCUUUCUGUCCUUUCCUUUCACCCUGUCUCCCUCUGCUGGUCGUAUUAGGUUACCUUUUCUCCCCCGCUUUCCCCCAGCUGUUCCUUGUCUCCUCCUAACUACCCAUUCACCCCGUUUCCCACCUGUUCCCUUUUUCCCUCUGAUUAGGUCCCUAUAUCUCUCUCUGUUUUUGUUCCUGUCCUUGUCGGAUUCUUGUUUGUUGUGUUUCAUGCCUGAACCAGACUAUCGUCAUGUUUGCUGUAACCUUGUCCUGUCCUGUCGGAAUCUGCCGGUCUGUCUGAACCUACCUGUGUUUGGUAAUUAAAGAAGCUCUGUUAAGUUAAUUCGCUUUUGGGUCCUCAUUCACUCACCGUGACAGAAGAAUCCGACCAAGAAUGGACCCAGCGACUUCGGAUCCUCUCCACUCAGCCGUCGAGAUCCAGGGAGCGAUGCUAGGCAGACACGAGCAGGAAUUGUCUGCUGCUCGACAUGCCGUUGAGACCCUGGCCACCCAAGUCUCCAACCUCACAGAACAGGUUCACCAUCUCCGCCUCGAUCCACCGGCCACUUCCAGGGCUUUCGAAUCUCCGGAGCCCAGAAUCAAUAACCCGCCGUGUUACUCUGGGGAGCCCACUGAAUGCCGCUCGUUCCUCACCCAGUGUGAUAUUGUGUUUUCUCUCCAGCCCAACACUUACGCCAGGAGCACUGCUCGUGUCGCCUACGUCAUAUCUCUCCUUACUGGACGGGCUCGUGAGUGGGGCACGGCAAUCUGGGAGGCAAGGGCUGAGUGUACUAACCAGUAUCAGGACUUUAAGGAGGAGAUGAUACGGGUUUUUGAUCGAUCUGUUUUUGGGGAGGAGGCUUCCAGGGCCCUGUCUUCCCUAUGUCAAGGCAAUCGAUCCAUAACUGACUACUCUAUUGAGUUUCGCACUCUUGCUGCCUCCAGUGGCUGGAACGAGCCGGCCUUGCUCGCUCGUCUUCUGGAGGGUCUCCGCGCAGAGGUAAAGGAUGAGAUUCUCUCCCGGGAGGUUCCUUCCAGCGUGGAUUCCUUGAUUGAACUCGCUAUUCGCAUUGAGCGACGGGUUGAUCUUCGUCACCGAGCUCGUGGAAAGGAGCUCGCGCUCUCCGUUGCCCCCCUCUCCGCAUCACUACCAUCUUCCUCUGCCGGCUCGGGAGCUGAGCCUAUGCAGCUGGGAGGUAUCCGCAUCUCGACUAAGGAGAGGGAACGGAGAAUCACCAACCGCCUCUGUCUCUAUUGCGGUUCU